rnacentral:lncRNA from 1 species
UUGAGGCGCUUUGAAGAUUGCACUAGCUAGAUUGAAAACCGAAAGGGAGUUACAAAGAAAGAAUGGAGAAGAAAGAGAUAUAUCUACUGGAUUGAUACUGUGAUGAUGUUGUGAUCAAACCUGUAACUUCUACUUACUUUCUACUUUAUGUUUUUUUUUUCCUACUAAAAACAAAACCUGAAUAUUUUAUUAAAUUUACAAAAAAU